rnacentral:ncRNA from 1 species
UAAUAAUACAAAAUUUCAAAAUAUUGUUUAUAUUUUUAAGAUUUUAAUAAGAUUGAACUUACCAACACAUAAAUUUUAAUAAUAAUAAAAAAAUAUAUUAUAUUACCAAUAAAUCAAAGUGCCAGCAAUUGCGGUUACUCUUUAAGUAAAAUUAUUUUUUUUUAUAUUAAUAUUUCUUUUCUUAAAAAUCUUAAGUAUUUUAAGUAAAAUUUUAUACCUACUUAUUUUUAAUUUUAAUAUUAAUUUAAAACUGAAACCUAAAUAAGGAUUAGAUACCCUUUUAUAUUCUAUUAAAAUGGGUAGUAUUUUUUAAAAAAACCUUUAUAUUAUGGUGGCAUUUUAUUUUAUUAGAGGAAUAUGUUUUUUAAUCGAUAAUUCACGAUUAUUUUUACUUUAAUCUAUAUUUUAUAUACCUCCGUAUUGAGUAAAUCUAAAUAUUAUACUCAAAAUAAUAUUAUAAUAAUUUAGGUAAAGGUGUAAACUAAAUUAAAGAUAAAAUGUAUUACCUUAAAAAUUAUUUAAGGAUUAUUUUUCGUAAAAAUUUAUGAAAAAGGAUUUAUAAGUAUUAUUUUAUUAAUAUUAAAAUAUGAAUUAAAAAAUAAAUGUAUACAUAUCGCCCGUCACCCUUACUCUAAAGUAAGGUAAGUCGUAACACAGUUAAUGUUCUAGAAAGAGCAUUUAG